AACCCCUAACAACGGAUGUCUUGGCUCUCGCAACGAUGAAGAACGCAGCGAAAUGCGAUAUGUAGUGUGAAUUGCAGAAUUACGUGAAUCAUCGAAUCUUUGAACGCAUAUGGCACCCGAGA
rnacentral:rRNA from 1 species